rnacentral:misc_RNA from 1 species
CUGAGAGGGAGAUUCACGCCGCUGCCGUGGGAUUCACACCAGCGCCUCCGCUUGGGUGCCAAUCGCCCGCUCGCAAGCUUCGCCGAGUCGUGGGGAAGGUUUCCGAAGGCCAACGCUAAGGAUUUGUCGUCGGGACCCAGGGAAUUCAUCACCGGAGUUGCGCCCGACCGCGGAGCCGCUCCUCGCCGUGGUUCUCCCUGCACUGCGACCCUCGUUGUCGGCUCCCAGAUCCGCGCGCAGGACAACGAGCGGCUGGGCGGGGCGGCGGCUGGACGACGGGUUGACAACUUGGACGUAGCGGCGGGGCGGCAAGUAGGGCGACUGGGCGAGCGACUGCCGACUGGGCUGGGUGAGCACCGAGCGGCGAGCAGGCAGCACCACAGCGGCUGUGCGAGCGCCGGGCAGGCAGCAUCGCAGUGGCUGGGCGAGCGACGGCGGGCAAGCAGCGAUGGGCAGGCAGCGGCUGCUGGCUGGGCGACCCGGGCAGCCCCGGGCGCAGAUCCGCCACUGGUCGCGGCCGUCUCCAUCCGCGCCACGGCGCGGCCACGCGACUUGGACUUCGUCACUACCGUCGGACCGUGCCUCGCGUUGAAGGAGACAGGCAACCUCAACCUGGCAUGA